rnacentral:lncRNA from 1 species
AAAUAAUCAACAUAAUCUAUAUCACAUACACUUAAUACAAUUUCCACCCAAUCACAUAACUUUCCAUGAUAUUCAUAGUUUAGGUAUAAAGUCAUACCAUUCUACUCAAUUCAUUACAACCAUCAUAGAAGAAAUAUAAUUCAACAAUUAUGGUUAGUUCUCACGGCUUGUGAAUCCCCUUUAAUGUGCUGCUCCGCCUCAUCCUCACAUAUCACACACGUAAG